rnacentral:rRNA from 1 species
CGGCGAGUGAAGCGGGAUGAGCUCAAGCUUAAAAUCUCCGUGCAAAUUUUGCAUGGCGAAUUGUAGUCUAUAGAGGCGUGAUUAGCAUCGGCACUUGGGGUAAGUUCCUUGGAAGAGGACAGCAUCGAGGGUGAUACUCCCGUUUAUCCCCGAGUCGCUUAUGUGUACAAUCCGUUUUCUUUGAGUCGCGUUGUUUGAGAAUGCAGCGCAAAGUAGGUGGUAAAUUCCAUCUAAAGCUAAAUAUUGGUGCGAGACCGAUAGCAAACAAGUACCGUGAGGGAAAGAUGAAAAGAACUUUGAAAAGAGAGUUAAAGAGUACCUGAAACUGCUGAAAGGGAACCAAAUCGUUUCCAGUAUCUAUAAUCCGUGGUAUAUUUCAUUGGCGAAUGUUUGCGUGCGUAUACUAUGGCAGCGGCUUUUAGCUGCGCCUUGUGUAUGUGUGCAUUUUCUCGCUGAUGCCCUGUACCGUGGUGGGACGUCAAUGUCGGUUCGUAAACUGCGGGAAAUGACUGCCGAGGAGGUAGGGCGAACGCUUGCGUUUGUCUGUUAUAUCUGGGCGGACGUAGUAGUCGCGGUUGGGACUGAGGUGCCUACAAUGUGCUUAUGAGUGGAAUUGAUUCUCUGUGUGCGCCGUGUGCGGAUAGCUUGCUAUGCGUGUGUGGCUGCGUGUGGAU